rnacentral:rRNA from 1 species
GACGAACGCUGGCGGCGUGCUUAACACAUGCAAGUCGAACGGUGAAGCGCCUUCCUUUUUGGUGGGUGUGGAUGAGUGGCGAACGGGUGAGUAACACGUGAGUAACCUGCCCCCUUCUUCUGGAUAACCGCAUGGAAGUGUGGCUAAUACGGGAUAUUCUGGGUCUGUCGCAUGAUGGGUCUGGGAAAGGUAUUGUUUCGGUGGGGGAUGGGCUCGCGGCCUAUCAGCUUGUUGGUGGGGUGAUGGCCUACCAAGGCGGUGACGGGUAGCCGGCCUGAGAGGGUGGACGGUCACACUGGGACUGAGACACGGCCCAGACUCCUACGGGAGGCAGCAGUGGGGAAUAUUGCACAAUGGGCGUAAGCCUGAUGCAGCGACGCCGCGUGAGGGAUGGAGGCCUUCGGGUUGUGAACCUCUUUCGCCAGUGAAGCAGGCCUGCCUCGUUUGUGGGUGGGUUGACGGUAGCUGGAUAAGAAGCGCCGGCUAACUACGUG